GACGAACGCUGGCGGCGUGCUUAACACAUGCCAGUCGAACGGAAAGGCCCUGCUUGCAGGGUACUCGAGUGGCGAACGGGUGAGUAACACGUGGGUGAUCUGCCCUGCACUUCGGGAUAAGCUUGGGAAACUGGGUCUAAUACCGGAUAGGAGCCAUCUUUAGUGUGGUGGUUGGAAAGUUUUUUCGGUGUAGGAUGAGCUCGCGGCCUAUCAGCUUGUUGGUGGGGUAAUGGCCUACCAAGGCGGCGACGGGUAGCCGGCCUGAGAGGGUGUACGGCCACAUUGGGACUGAGAUACGGCCCAGACUCCUACGGGAGGCAGCAGUGGGGAAUAUUGCACAAUGGGCGCAAGCCUGAUGCAGCGACGCCGCGUGGGGGAUGAAGGCCUUCGGGUUGUAAACUCCUUUCGCUAGGGACGAAGCUUUUUGUGACGGUACCUAGAUAAGAAGCACCGGCUAACUACGUG
rnacentral:rRNA from 1 species